UUGGUCCACGUUUUUAAUUGUAAAAUAGAGGAAACUUACCCACUUCUCCUUAUUCUUCGAUACUCUCAAUCCCAUCAUCUUCAUCCCAAAGCCACCGUAACUUAACUUAAACAUAUAGGUCUGAAGAAAAAAAAAAACUAAACCUAAACUUCGAUCAAUACUUCGUCUUCUACUCUAUUGACCCAAUCCUACAAGUUCUUCUACUCCAUUGUUCCAAUCCUACAAGAGAAUCAUUCCUACCUUGUUAUCAAUUGUUCAUUUGAAACCCUAAAUCAUGUCAACCCUAAAUACCAUUAAAAUCAAAUCGAAAGAAACCCUGGAUACUAAAAUCUUAUACGGAGGGCAGAAGAGGAAAACAAAUAGGAAUAUGGGAAACAAGAGGUCGAAAUAAGUGGUGUUGGUGUUAGUUGAUUUUAUCAGAAAAAGAUGAACAUCCUAAAGAUUAGGGGAUGAGAUUUCUAGAGAGAUUACUGGUAUGUUUUUUCAUUUAAUUUAGCAAACCAUCUACUGUAUGUAUUCAUGGGUUGUUGUUAUGAUUUAUGCAAUUUGAAUGAUGUUCUUCUUUGUUGUGUUUCUUUUUUACAUUGAUAGAGCAUAGACACAAUUAGAUCGUGUUAUCAGAUUAGAGUGGUUAUAUAUAGAAUGUUCCUAGUUAAUAUUUUCUUGGACAUAGAAGUAUUGGGAAGAUAGAUAAAUUUUUUUAUAUGAUUAAUUUUUGUAUGGUUACUUGUAGAAAAUUCAUGUAAAAGUAAAACUGCAGAUUACCUAAUUGUUCGUUUGUAUCUAUCGACAUAUAUAAAUAUAAAUCAUGGUUGUUUCAGGACUUCACUUAGAUUUCUGUAGUUGGAGGUUUGUGUAGGGGUAAAACGUUUGGUUGUAUGUGUUUGGUUGUAAGUAGUUAUUCACUUUGAUUUCCCGCAUUCCCCGUGGGUGUUCAGCUUUAUCGUUUGAGCUCUUACAAUUUUGUGGAAAAGAGCACCACCAGUGGCAUGACUCAGCUAUACCUAGUAGUUUCGAAGGCAGGUAUACUAGUUGUAAUAGAGCCCUGAAUGGUGAAAUCUUUCUCAACUCAGGUGAUCCUUUUUGGUUGUGUCUCCAAGCAUGUAAUUCUAAUCAAAACAACACGUACUAACGCAACGCCUUCUCUGUAAACAUGAGCAGAGACACCGUUGGAAGUGUGGUAAUGUUUUAGAAAAACCAAGUACACUAUUUACAACCAUAACCUUUCUUAAUUGCUCUUUUAUUUGUAGAAAAUCUUUCCACAAACAUAAACUUGUGACCUUGUUGUCCAUAUCCAACCUAUGUAUGCAAUCUAUGGGCGCCGGUUUGGUCGUAGUCUAGCCAGUAAGCAUAUUUUCUUCAUAUUGAUUUUAUUUUUGCAUCAGAAAAUAUAUUGUUUCCCUUAUACCAUUCAAGUCUUAAACCGUAUCAUCCAUGUUCCCCUUGGAACUCUCUUGACUGAUGUAGUAAUCUACCCUAUCAGAAAAAUGUAUGCCUCUAAAAGUAGGUAAUGUGGUUCAUUAUUACACUCCAGACUCCAUUCAGAAGAAAGAAUCUUAAGUUCCUUUGGUACAAGUUACAUUUUUUCUUAAAUUUUGUGUUCCGAUUGAAAUUCUCAUUCUAAGUUGGUGAAUGUCCUUAUUUUGAUUGGUAAUUUUAGAUGCAGACUGCUGAACGAGCGUCGGAAAAGUCUGAGGUACGUACUCAUGGUCAAAGGAAUCAUUAUCACAUGGAAACUUCUCGAUCUACUGAUAUCCUGUUCACAAUAGCAAUACUCAUCUUUUCUAAAUUUGAAUCUUGCAAUUGUCUUUGGUAUUCAAUAUUUGAUUUAUCUGGAUUGCAGGAAUUAUUAAAGUAGUCAUUAAAGUUUGCUCUUUACAUCUGAGGUAUGUAGGGACGAAAAUGUUACCUUUAAAGCCAGAAGGCUAUAACUUAUGGACUUAAAGAGGUCAUCGAAUACAUCAUGCAGCAUAAGGAAAGAGAACUUUGGUUUUUUUAACCCAUGGUUUCGUGCUUUCAGAUUUCAUUGGAGGUGGCAGGUGAUCAGAAGCCCGGGGUGGUUGAAAAUUACAACAAAAAUGGCUGAUCUUUAUCUUUUCAUGCGAAAAUGCAAAGUGAAGAUGUCAUCUAUUCCUCCUUAAUAUCCUCAAUUCAAGGUUGAAGCGAAAAGAGAUGUCUUAUUGCAAUCUCUUAGAGUUCUGGAGAGACAGGUUGAUCUUGUUUCAGUAAAUAUUAACACCUGGAGUUUUUCUACUUCUAGUAUCAUAUGUCAGUCGGCUUUUUGGUUUUGUUUUGCUUUGGUAUGUUUCAAUAUAAAAAAUCGACGAUAAUAUUAUUUGAGUUAGCUAGCUUAUCUGUAAUUGAAUCUUCGGGAUGUAUUUGAUUUUUAUUAACGAAUGAAUAAAAGAUUUCAAUAUUUUUCCUACA